GUCUAUGGCCAUGCUACCCUGAACAAGCCUGGUCCUGCCUGAUCUCAGAAGCUAAGCCGGGUCGGGCCUGGUUAGUACUUGGAUGGGAGACCAGGUGCUGUAGGCA
rnacentral:rRNA from 1 species